UCUCCUACUUAUGCUCCUCACUUCGGCGG
rnacentral:sRNA from 1 species